rnacentral:rRNA from 1 species
AUUGAACGCUGGCGGCAUGCCUUACACAUGCCAGUCGAACGGCAGCGCGGACUUCGGUCUGGCGGCGAGUGGCGAACGGGUGAGUAAUACAUCGGAACGUACCCUGUUGUGGGGGAUAACUAGUCGAAAGAUUAGCUAAUACCGCAUACGACCUGAGGGUGAAAGUGGGGGACCGCAAGGCCUCACGCAGCAGGAGCGGCCGAUGUCUGAUUAGCUAGUUGGUGGGGUAAAGGCCCACCAAGGCGACGAUCAGUAGCUGGUCUGAGAGGACGAUCAGCCACACUGGGACUGAGACACGGCCCAGACUCCUACGGGAGGCAGCAGUGGGGAAUUUUGGACAAUGGGGGCAACCCUGAUCCAGCAAUGCCGCGUGUGUGAAGAAGGCCUUCGGGUUGUAAAGCACUUUUGUCCGGAAAGAAAUCGCGCUGGUUAAUACCUGGCGUGGAUGACGGUACCGGAAGAAUAAGCACCGGCUAACUACGUG